AAUCCAUAGGUUAAUGAGGCGAACCGGGGGAACUGAAACAUCUAAGUACCCCGAGGAAAAGAAAUCAACCGAGAUUCCCCCAGUAGCGGCGAGCGAACGGGGAGGAGCCCAGAGCCUGAAUCAGCAUGUGUGUUAGUGGAAGCGUCUGGAAAGGCGCGCGAUACAGGGUGACAGCCCCGUACACAAAAGCGCAUGUGCUGUGAGCUCGAUGAGUAGGGCGGGACACGUGGUAUCCUGUCUGAAUAUGGGGGGACCAUCCUCCAAGGCUAAAUACUCCUGACUGACCGAUAGUGAACCAGUACCGUGAGGGAAAGGCGAAAAGAACCCCGGCGAGGGGAGUGAAAAAGAACCUGAAACCGUGUACGUACAAGCAGUGGGAGCACCCUUUGGGGUGUGACUGCGUACCUUUUGUAUAAUGGGUCAGCGACUUAUAUUCUGUAGCAAGGUUAACCGUAUAGGGGAGCCGCAGGGAAACCGAGUCUUAACCGGGCGUUAAGUUGCAGGGUAUAGACCCGAAACCCGGUGAUCUAGCCAUGGGCAGGUUGAAGGUUGGGUAACACUAACUGGAGGACCGAACCGACUAAUGUUGAAAAAUUAGCGGAUGACCUGUGGCUGGGGGUGAAAGGCCAAUCAAACCGGGAGAUAGCUGGUUCUCCCCGAAAGCU
rnacentral:rRNA from 2 species